GACGAACGCUGGCGGCGUGCUUAACACAUGCAAGUCGAACGGAAAGGCCCUGCUUUUGUGGGGUGCUCGAGUGGCGAACGGGUGAGUAACACGUGAGUAACCUGCCCUUGACUUUGGGAUAACUUCAGGAAACUGGGGCUAAUACCGGAUAGGAGCUCCUGCUGCAUGGUGGGGGUUGGAAAGUUUCGGCGGUUGGGGAUGGACUCGCGGCUUAUCAGCUUGUUGGUGGAGUAGUGGCUUACCAAGGCUUUGACGGGUAGCCGGCCUGAGAGGGUGACCGGCCACAUUGGGACUGAGAUACGGCCCAGACUCCUACGGGAGGCAGCAGUGGGAAAUAUUGCACAAUGGGCGGAAGCCUGAUGCAGCAACGCCGCGUGCGGGAUGACGGCCUUCGGGUUGUAAACCGCUUUCGCCUGUGACGAAGCGUGAGUGACGGUAAUGGGUAAAGAAGCACCGGCUAACUACGUG
rnacentral:rRNA from 1 species